rnacentral:rRNA from 1 species
GACGAACGCUGGCGGCGUGCUUAACACAUGCGAGUCGAACGGAAAGGCCCUGCUUUUGUGGGGUGCUCGAGUGGCGAACGGGUGAGUAACACGUGAGUAACCUGCCCUUGACUUUGGGAUAACUUCAGGAAACUGGGGCUAAUACCGGAUAGGAGCCCCUGCUGCAUGGUGGGGGUUGGAAAGUUUCGGCGGUUGGGGAUGGGCGCGCGGCUUAUCAGCUUGUUGGUGGGGUAGUGGCUUACCAAGGCUUUGACGGGUAGCCGGCCUGAGAGGGUGACCGGCCACAUUGGGACUGCGAUACGGACCAGACUCCUACGGGAGGCAGCAGUGGGGAAUAUUGCACAAUGGGCGGAAGCCUGAUGCAGCAACGCCGCGUGCGGGAUGACGGCCUUCGGGUUGUAAACCGCUUUCGCCUGUGACGAAGCGUGAGUGACGGUAAUGGGUAAAGAAGCACCGGCUAACUACGUG